AACGAACGCUGGCGGCAGGCUUAACACAUGCAAGUCGAACGAAGGCUUCGGCCUUAGUGGCGCACGGGUGCGUAACGCGUGGGAAUCUGCCCUUGGGUUCGGAAUAACUCAGAGAAAUUUGAGCUAAUACCGAAUGAUGUCGAAAGACCAAAGAUUUAUCGCCCAAGGAUGAGCCCGCGUAGGAUUAGCUUGUUGGUGAGGUAAAGGCUCACCAAGGCGACGAUCCUUAGCUGGUCUGAGAGGAUGAUCAGCCACACUGGGACUGAGACACGGCCCAGACUCCUACGGGAGGCAGCAGUGGGGAAUAUUGGACAAUGGGCGAAAGCCUGAUCCAGCAAUGCCGCGUGAGUGAUGAAGGCCUUAGGGUUGUAAAGCACUUUAAGCGAGGAGGAAGGUCUUUGUAACUAAUAUUUCAAAGAAUUGACGUUACUCGCAGAAUAAGCACCGGCUAACUCUGUGCCAGCAGCCGCGGUAAAGUACAGUGU
rnacentral:rRNA from 1 species